CUCAGUCGUAGAAAUCAUGAAGAAAUCUUGUAUAAAUACUGCUUGAAAUCUAUUCACUAUUCAAUUGAACAUUCACAGUUAAAAUGGCGAUCUUGAAAAAUAUUUUCUUUGUUUGCGUUUUGGUACCCGCCUUACUGAUGGCGCUCGUCCUACCAGAAGUUACAGCGGAAGAUUCAGCGGAUAGUUUAGUUUUGGCGAAGAGGGAUAUCAAACCUGCAAAAAUUCAGAAAAAGGUCACAAUUGGUAAAGGCGUUAGUACCUUAGUUCAACGUCUAAAACCGCAACCUAUACUAACUUAAAAUUAACCUUUGUCAGAUUUUUAAAAUAAAUGCUCGCACAUAACAAAA